rnacentral:rRNA from 1 species
AGCGAACGCUGGCGGCAGGCCUAACACAUGCAAGUCGAACGAACUCUUCGGAGUUAGUGGCGGACGGGUGAGUAACACGUGGGAACGUGCCUUUUGGUUCGGAAUAACUCAGGGAAACUUGUGCUAAUACCGAAUGUGCCCUUCGGGGAAAGAUUUAUCGCCAUUAGAGCGGCCCGCGUAGGAUUAGCUAGUUGGUGGGG